UGGUGGGUAGUUUGACUGGGGCGGUCUCCUCCUAAAGAGUAACGGAGGAGCACGAAGGUUGGCUAAUCCUGGUCGGACAUCAGGAGGUUAGUGCAAUGGCAUAAGCCAGCUUGACUGCGAGCGUGACGGCGCGAGCAGGUGCGAAAGCAGGUCAUAGUGAUCCGGUGGUUCUGAAUGGAAGGGCCAUCGCUCAACGGAUAAAAGGUACUCCGGGGAUAACAGGCUGAUACCGCCCAAGAGUUCAUAUCGACGGCGGUGUUUGGCACCUCGAUGUCGGCUCAUCACAUCCUGGGGCUGAAGUAGGUCCCAAGGGUAUGGCUGUUCGCCAUUUAAAGUGGUACGCGAGCUGGGUUUAGAACGUCGUGAGACAGUUCGGUCCCUAUCUGCCGUGGGCGCUGGAGAACUGAGGGGGGCUGCUCCUAGUACGAGAGGACCGGAGUGGACGCAUCACUGGUGUUCGGGUUGUCAUGCCAAUGGCACUGCCCGGUAGCUAAAUGCGGAAGAGAUAAGUGCUGAAAGCAUCUAAGCACGAAACUUGCCCCGAGAUGAGUUCUCCCUGACUCCUUGAGAGUCCUGAAGGAACGUUGAAGACGACGACGUUGAUAGGCCGGGUGUGUAAGCGCAGCGAUGCGUUGAGCUAACCGGUACUAAUGAACCGUGAGGCUUAACCUU
rnacentral:rRNA from 1 species